GAUGAACGCUGGCGGCGUGCUUAACACAUGCAAGUCGAACGGAGAAAGGGUAGCUUGCUAUCUUUUCUUAGUGGCGGACGGGUGAGUAACGCGUGGGUAACCUGCCCUUUGCAGGGGGAUAACAGUGAGAAAUCACUGCUAAUACCGCAUACCAACUUCUUUCGCAUGAAAGAAGUUUGAAAGAUUUAUCGGCAAAGGAUGGACCCGCGUUGGAUUAGCUAGUUGGUGAGAUAACAGCCCACCAAGGCAACGAUCCAUAGCCGGCCUGAGAGGGUGAACGGCCACACUGGGACUGAGACACGGCCCAGACUCCUACGGGAGGCAGCAGUGGGGAAUAUUGCACAAUGGGCGAAAGCCUGAUGCAGCGACGCCGCGUGAAGGAUGAAGGUCUUCGGAUUGUAAACUUCUAUCAGCAGGGAAGAAAGGGCCUAUGGCCUAUGACGGUACCUGACUAAGAAGCCCCGGCUAACUACGUGCCUGCAGCCGCGGUAAU
rnacentral:rRNA from 1 species